AUUGAACGCUGGCGGCAGGCCUAACACAUGCAAGUCGAGCGAGCGGCGGACGGGUGAGUAAUGUCUGGGAAACUGCCUGAUGGAGGGGGAUAACUACUGUAAACGGUAGCUAAUACCGCAUACCCUCAGAUGUGCCCAGAUGGGAUUAGCUAGUAGGUGGGGUAACGGCUCACCGAGGCGACGAUCCCUAGCUGGUCUGAGAGGAUGACCAGCCACACUGGAACUGAGACACGGACCAGGCUCCUACGGGAGGCAGCAGUGGGGAAUAUUGGACAAUGGUCGCAAGCCUGAUGCAGCCAUGCCGCGUGUGUGAAGAAGGCCUUCGGGUUGUAAAGCACUUUCAGCGGGGAGGCGGUACCCGCAGAAGAAGCACCGGCUAACUCCGUGCCAGCAGCCGCGGUAAUAC
rnacentral:rRNA from 1 species